rnacentral:rRNA from 1 species
AUUGAACGCUGGCGGCAGGCCUAACACAUGCAAGUCGAACGGUAACAGGAAGCAGCUUGCUGCUUUGCUGACGAGUGGCGGACGGGUGAGUAAUGUCUGGGAAACUGCCUGAUGGAGGGGGAUAACUACUGGAAACGGUGGCUAAUACCGCAUAACGUCGCAAGACCAAAGAGGGGGACCUUCGGGCCUCUUGCCAUCAGAUGUGCCCAGAUGGGAUUAGCUUGUUGGUGAGGUAACGGCUCACCAAGGCGACGAUCCCUAGCUGGUCUGAGAGGAUGACCAGCCACACUGGAACUGAGACACGGUCCAGACUCCUACGGGAGGCAGCAGUGGGGAAUAUUGCACAAUGGGCGCAAGCCUGAUGCAGCCAUGCCGCGUGUAUGAAGAAGGCCUUCGGGUUGUAAAGUACUUUCAGCGGGGAGGAAGGUGUUGUGGUUAAUAACCGCAGCAAUUGACGUUACCCGCAGAAGAAGCACCGGCUAACUCCGUGCCAGCAGCCGCGGUAAUACGGAGGGUGCAAGCGUUAAUCGGAAUUACUGGGCGUAAAGCGCACGCAGGCGGUCUGUCAAGUCGGAUGUGAAAUCCCCGGGCUCAACCUGGGAACUGCAUUCGAAACUGGCAGGCUUGAG